UUAAAUGGCUGCAGUAAUUUGACUGUACAAAGGUAGCAUAAUCAAUAGUUUUUUAAUUGAAAGCUAGAAUGAAUGGUUGGACGAAAUAAAAUCUGUCUUUAUUUAAUUUAAAAUAAAAUUUAAUUUUUAAGUUAAAAAGCUUAAAUUUUUAUAAAAGACGAGAAGACCCUAUAGAGUUUUAUAUUUUUAAUAUAUAUUUAAUUUUGAUUUGUUUAUUAUAUAUAUAAUAAAAUAUUUUAUUGGGGUAAUAUAAAGAUUAAUAUAAUUCUUUUUAUUUAUAUGUAUUUAUUUAUAUUAUAAUUGAUCCAUUUUUAAUGAUUAUAAGAUUAAAUUACCUUAGGGAUAACAGCGUAAUUUUUUUAGAGAGUUCAUAUUGAUAAAAAAGUUUGCGACCUCGAUGUUGGAUUAAAGAUUAAUUUAGGUGCAAAAGUUUAAAUGUUUGGUCUGUUCGACCAUUAAAUCUUUACAUGAUCUGAGUUCAGACCGGCGUGAGCCAGGUCGGUUUCUAUCUUUAUUUAAUUAAAAUAUUUUAGUACGAAAGGACCAAAUAUUAAUUAUAAUAAUUUAUAUUUUGAAUGUUAUU
rnacentral:rRNA from 1 species